rnacentral:rRNA from 1 species
GUGCCAGCAGCCGCGGUAAUACGAAGGGUGCUAGCGUUGUUCGGAAUUACUGGGCGUAAAGCGUGCGUAGGUUGUUCUACAAGCUAGUGGUGAAAGCCCGGGGCUUAACCCCGGAAUUGCCAUUAGAACUGUAGGGCUAGAGAGUGUUAGAGGUAAGUGGAAUUCCUAGUGUAGGAGUGAAAUCCGUAGAUAUUAGGAGGAACAUCAAUGGCGAAGGCAGCUUACUGGGUCACAUCUGACACUGAGGCACGAAAGCGUGGGUAGCAAACAGGAUUAGAUACCCUUGUAGUCC